rnacentral:rRNA from 1 species
GAUGAACGCUGGCGGCGUGCCUAAUACAUGCAAGUCGAGCGAACAGACGAGGAGCUUGCUCCUCUGACGUUAGCGGCGGACGGGUGAGUAACACGUGGAUAACCUACCUAUAAGACUGGGAUAACUUCGGGAAACCGGAGCUAAUACCGGAUAAUAUAUUGAACCGCAUGGUUCAAUAGUGAAGGACGGUUUUGCUGUCACUUAUAGAUGGAUCCGCGCCGCAUUAGCUAGUUGGUAAGGUAACGGCUUACCAAGGCAACGAUGCGUAGCCGACCGGAGAGGAUGAGCGGCCACACUGGAACGGAGACACUGACCAGGGGCCUACGGGAGGCAGCAGUAGGGAAUCGGCCGCAAUGGUCGAAAACCUUACAGAACAACGCCGCGUGAGUGAUGAAAGUCUUCGGAGCGUAAAACUCUGUUACGAGGCAAGAACAAAUGGGUAAGUAACCAUGCACGGCUUGACGGGACCUCAUCAGAAAGCCACGGCUAGCUACGGG